UAUUCGAAUGUUGUCGAAGCAUAGUAGUAUCCUGAGUAGCGCGGAGCACGAGGAAUUCUGCGUGAAUCUGCCGGGACCAUCCGGUAAGGCUAAAUACUCCCGAGAGACCGAUAGCGAACCAGUACCGUGAGGGAAAGGUGAAAAGAACCCCGAGCAGGGGAGUGAAAUAGACCCUGAACCCGUCUGCCUACAAGCGGUCGGAGCAUCGUCAAGAUGUGACGGCGUGCCUUUUGCAUAAUGAACCUACGAGUUACCUUCCCCGGCAAGGUUAAGUACCUAAGGUACGGAGCCGAAGCGAAAGCGAGUCUGAAGAGGGCGGCCAGUCGGGGGGGGUAGACGCGAAACCGAGUGAUCUACCCUUGGCCAGGUUGAAGGUUGGGUAACACCAACUGGAGGACCGGAUGGGUAAGCGUUGAAAAGCUUUCCAAUGAGCUGAGGGUAGGGGUGAAAGGCUAAUCAAACUCGGAGAUAGCUCGUACUCCCCGAAAUGCAUUUAGGUGCAGCCUCUUUAUAGUAUAUCGUGAGGUAGAGCGACUGAUUGGAUGCGAGGGCUUCACCGCCUAUCAAGUCCAGAUAAACUCCGAAUGCGCGAUAUAUAUUUAAAGGGAGUGAGGGCGCGGGUGCUAAGGUCCGUGUCCGAGAGGAGAAGAAUCCAGACCACCGGCUAAGGCCCCCAAAUGAUCGUUGAGUUGAACUAACGAGGUCGGAUCGCAGAGACAGCUAGGAUGUUGGCUUGGAAGCAGCCAUUCAUUUAAAGAGUGCGUAACAGCUCACUAGUCGAGCGAUCUGGCGUGGAUAAUAAUCGGGCAUAAACGAUCUGCCGAAGCCGUGGAUGUCGCAAGACAUGGUAGGGGAGCAUUCCAUGCGGCGUCGAAGAUGAGGGAUGACCCUUGUUGGAGCGCAUGGAAAAGCAAAUGUAGGUAUGAGUAACGAUAAGGGGGGCGAGAAACCCCCCCGCCGAAAGACCAAGGUUUCCUGAUCAACGCUAAUCGGAUCAGGGUGAGUCGGGACCUAAGGCUAAGCCGAACGGCGACGCCGAUGGAAGAAUGGGUUAAUAUUCCCAUACUGCCUCAUGGAGUGACGUGGAGACGGAGAAGUGACAGUCCUGCCGGCUGACGGAAUAGCCGGUUGAAGGGUGUAGAUAUUGAUUCCCGUAGGCAAAUCCGCGGGGAGAGUCGAACCUGACAGUAUACCGAGUACUUGUACGAGGUAAUAUGGACGUAACCAUGCUCCCAAGAAAAUCCGCUAAACUUAUCCAUGCGGCACCCGUACCGUAAACGGACACACGUGGUCGGGUUGAGAAUACUGAGGCGCUCGAGUGACUCACGGUUAAGGAACUAGGCAAAUUGACCCUGUAACUUCGGGAUAAAGGGUCCUCGUCGUAAGGCGAGGCGCAGAGAAUAGGUCCAGGCAACUGUUUAACAAAAACACAUGGCUGUGCUAAAUGGAAACAUGACGUAUACAGCCUGACACCUGCCCGGUGCUGGAAGGUUAAGAGGAGAUGUCAUCGCGAGAGAAGCGUUGAAUUGAAGCCCCAGUAAACGGCGGCCGUAACUAUAACGGUCCUAAGGUAGCGAAAUUCCUUGUCGGGUAAGUUCCGACCUGCACGAA
rnacentral:rRNA from 1 species